CCUAAACACUCAUCUCUGAGUGCAAGUCAGGGGCUGUGAAACUCUAAUCGGAGUGGACCCCCAACCUUCUUAGUGUUAUGUAACACCAGAAAUUCAUUUCUCUGUGAACCACCUAUUAAAUACGUGAGACUCAUAAUGAAUAUGUCAGGGUCAGCCCCUCACUCAAUUCAGUAGAAAGACUGACCUACACUCAGAAGACCAAUUUGCCCACUGUAAUUAUUCCUGAUAUAAGCCUCCUAAUAUUUGUAUGAAUAAUUUCCGUAGCUAAUAAUUUACUAAGGGAGAAAAACUUUGCACUCUCUUAUGUCAUCUUUUACCAAGAAAAAAAAAUGAGAUAAGAAUGAUAUGAUGAAUGCCUUUUCUUGUCCUCCUGGUAGAUUUUUAAUAACAAUACUAUCAGUUGUGUAUAAAAUGCCAGAUCAACUUAGUUUCAAUUUGCACUUCUUUUCAGCUCAGGGAAAAAAAGCAAAAUCCGCAUCUAAGAGUCCGUUGGUUUGCACAUCUGUGGAUUAUUAUACAUUUGCAGUAGGUACACUAUGUAUAGGGUGUUCAACUUCUUUGGCUGCUCCCCUCCACCUUAAGAAGCAAAGAAACAAACAUCACAUUAAAGCAGCAAAAGGUAACUGCUAUACUGAAGUGGCCUUACUUGAGGCCACAGAAACCAACUCUGGACAAGUAGCUGAGGCAGAGAAUAGGAAUCAAAGGAAUAACUGAGGAGACGAGGCCAACAGAAAGAUUGAAUGAGGAAAUCUGGGAGGAGCCUAACAAGAAGAACACGUGGAUUUUCUUUUCAGGUAUGCCUAUCAAAGUAAUUCUAUUCCAACAGACGUUUUUCUGCUACUUUGCCAAUUUUCAAAUUCUUUGGGUAAUAUGUCUGAUUGGCUCCGUUUAGAACAGUUUUUAAGGGAGGAGCGUUGAAGGAUGGAAAGGAUGGAAACUGGGUCUUAUGACAGUUAAGAGUCAGCAGGUCUCCUGUGUUGGGGGUCCUUCACAGAGAAUAAGGAAUCAGAGAAGUGAGGACCCUGUCAGAGUGUAGUACCCUCUUUUCUUAGGCCAUCAUGGUAGGAUAGAAAGGCACUAAUGGGCACAAGUCAUCUUCAACAAUUAAAAAACUAUUAAUUUAUUUUGAGAGAGAUAGAGGGAGAUUAAAGGAGGGACAGAAAGAAGGAGACAGAAUCCCAAGCAGGCUCCAUGAUGUCAGGGCAGAGCCUGAUGCGGGGCUCAAACUCACAAACCAUGAGUUCAUGACCUGAGCUAAAAUCAAGAGUCAGAUGCUCAACCCACUGAGCCACCCAGGCGCCCCCAUCUUCAACAUUUUUAAGACUCAGUCUUGACUAAAUAUUAUGCAUUUCCUCUCUACUUAUUCUUAAAAUUAAUGAUUAUAUAAAAUUGUCAUUUUUGCCUAGUAAAUUCACUGACACACUAGUCUCUCCUAAAGAGUUUACCUGUGGUGUUCUGUAUGAGCAUGUUUGUUCAAUAAGUCAUUAUCAAAACUUUUUCCUUUGAAAGGUUAGACUACUUAUUUCAGCUAAUUUAGAAGCUGUAAAAUGUUUCAACACAUGUAAAAUCGGUGAGGUGUAUAUUUUUAUAGAUGAGAAUUCUUUUUCACUUGCCUACAGCUUUUAUUUGCAUUUUGCAAAUUUAUCAUAAAUGUGCUGACAACAGAAAAUAGCACUCAAGGUUCUGAGAUAACUAGUUAAGUCAUGUGGUUAUCAGCUAUAUUUUGGAGACAGUUCCACUAAAGUAAAUAAAAAGGAAAUUACUAGGCA
ensembl:lncRNA